AUCCAGAGACCACACUAAAAUGGUGGCUGACGUGGAGACAGAGGAAGCUCCUUUCUAGUUAUGGCCACAAGGCAGGAUGCUGAGGUGUUGUCUAGGUAAGAAGCAAAUCUUAACCUUGGGUCUCCUUUCUGCACAUGCAAUCCUGUAUGGUGAUGUCUCUGACGUUCAGGGAGCUAAGUCACAAUGCUUUUAUGUUUUCAGUGUAUUUUAUUUAUUAUUUUAUUUUACCUGCACAGCUUCACCCCUAAAGAGUGUCAGGAAAUAACCCUUUCUGUCUGCUUUUCUUUUUAUAAAAGAAUCACAUUGCCUUUGCCUCGUAGGCUCAGUUGGAUCUCCAAGUGGCGGUACCGUUCUCUCCACUUCAAAAAUACACAGAAACAUGUGGAAAUGUUCUGUCAUCCAGAAUGAAAAGCAUGUGCACCAAAUUUUCACAGACCUGAUUCGAAUGUAGAUAAAAGUGCAAAAUCCAGAGGAGGGAACACGCUAUAGAAAUCCUGUCUUCUAUACUAUAAUUUAAUCAUCGUGUGCCACAGAAUGUCUUUGCAUAAAUUACAACCACAAUAAUAGCAUCACUUUCACAAAAGGUGGCCUCUAAUCGAUUUGACUCUCCAAGAGAUGGCUGGGUUUUUCAAAGCAGAGAAAUGAUGACCUGCAGUCUUAAAGAGCUGUUGAUUGCACCUGGGGCUCCCGUGGCCGGCGCCCAUCGAGCAGCCCAUCCUGGCUGUUCCCUUGUUCAGCUGAUUUUCUUUUUUAUCUUGACAUUUGCUAACCGCUUGGUUUUUAUUUUCCGGGAAGAGAGGAUUAUUGGCAACUGGCACCACCCCCAUGUCUGGAGGAGGGACGUUUCUAGGAUGACCCCCAGAGUGGAGAAAUAGCCGAGCUCAUGAGGCAACCCACACAGGCAGGCUGGAGAGGAGUGGCAAGAAGCUCACCUUCGGACAGUAGUGAGCAGAGCAACAGAGGCCCCCAGAGACUUCGCACAACGGAAAAGAGAUCAACUCCCGCAUUUGCAGGGGACGUGAAAGUGCAAUACUGUGAGGAACAAAAGGAAGCCUCAUCUCUGGAAGCCGGGAGGAAAAACAGUCGGUGUAGACAGCAGCGGCAGGGACCAGAGCUGACCAGAAGGCUGGGUCCCAGCAACAAUUAGAGACAGGCAGCAGCUGAGGCCCCUUCUCUGAGAACCAUUUCAAUUGCACAGUGGCCACAGAAGGCUCCAUUGGCCCGGCAGCCAGCUCUGCAGAGCCAUUUGUCCACAAGGAAAAUAAUAGCCCCGGCCUCAUUGCUUUGGGCUGCAGGGAGGACAAUGACCCACCAUGAAAAGAGUUAAAAAGAUUCUGGGGAAGGGGAAAGGCAGGCCCACACGGUGGCAAUUCAAG
rnacentral:lncRNA from 1 species